rnacentral:tRNA from 1 species
GGGGGUGUAGCUCAUUUGGUAGAGCGUUGCAAUGGCAUUGCAAAGGUAGAGAGUUCGAUCCUCUUCACCUCCACCA